rnacentral:lncRNA from 1 species
UAUAUAUAUAUAUAUAUUUUAAAACGGUUAUCAUAAAAGAAUAAAUUUUUUUUUAUUUUAAAGCACUUUUUAUAAAUUUAUCUUGCGCUAAAUAAACUAUUUUUUAUAGAUAAGUAUAGCUAUUAUAUAUAAUCUUAAAAAUAAUAUUCAAUAUAUAUAUUUAACUUUUAAUAAAAUAUCAUUAAAAACCACGACAGUCUAAAAAAAAAUUUUGAUUUCUAAAAAAAAAAGCAUGGUUUUAUAAUAUAUAUAUAAUUAAAUAAAUUUACAUAAAUUUUUAAAUUUUAUUAAUAUAUAAAAAAAUUAUUAAAAAUUAAUAUAUAUUCUAUAAUAUCUUAACUACUAUAAAUAUUUUGUUUGUUUUUUUAUCAUUUAUUCUUUUAUGCUUUUUUUAUAUAACAAAACGCAUAAAAAAUAUAUAUUUAUUAUACAUCAUUUAUGCACUUUUUUUUAAAUCUUUAUAUAUACAUUGUUUUUAGUCAUUGUACAUAUAUAUAUAUAUAUAUAUAUAUUUGUUAUAAUUUUAGGUUGGUUUUAAAACAAAAAAAUAGCUAUGUGACUAAAUUUUAUAUUAAUUUAAUAUAAAUAUUAAUUUUUAUUUUUUAAUUGUUAAUUUUUAGUUAUUAAUUUUUAAUUUUUUAUUUUAUAUUUUAUUUUUUUUUUAUAUUUAAUAUAUUUUUUUUUUUAUUUUAUAUUUUAUUUUUUUUUUAUAUUUAAUAUAUUUUUUUUUUUAUUUUAUAUUUUAUAUUUAUAAUAAUAUAUAAUUUUUAUGUAUCAAAAAAAUAAAAAAAAAUUUAAUCUAAUUUAGAUAAAAAUAGUUUACAUAUAAUAUUACUAAAGUUUUAAAAUUGAUAUAAAAAAAAGUUAUUAUUAAGAUUCCAUAAAUAACUAAAUAAAGCAACAUGCAUCGCUAUUUUCGUAUAAUCUUUUUUAUUGUUGCUGUUUCUACAUCAUUAAAUAAGGUUUUAUCGAGUGAUGUUAUUGAAGAAAAUGUAGAACAUGCGGACGUAGGUAUUAACGUCGAUAAAAACCAAAAAAAUGUUGAAUUAGUUGGACAGGACAAACUAUUUGAGGAAAUUGUAGAUCAAAAAAAAAUAUUUGAUUUAAUCAAACCAGGUAUAAAAUAUUAUGAAAGUAUUAUAUCAAAACCCGUAUCAAAAGAAAAUAAAAUCGACAUUGAAUUUAAAACACAAAUUUCAAAUUUAAAACAAAGUCAACAAAAAUCAAAAAAGGAAAUUGAAGUUCAAGCACAAAAAGAACUUGUAGUAGAAGAACCUGUAGUAAAAAAAACUGUAGUAGAACUACAUGAAGUACAAGAAAUUGUUGUAGAAAAAAAAAAAAAAAAAAAAGUAUAUAUAUAUUAACAAUAUACAGAAGUAAAACAAAUAAAAUAAAUAAAAUCGUAUAAAGAUUUAUUUAA